rnacentral:rRNA from 1 species
CCCUUAGAGUUUGAUCCUGGCUCAGAGUGAACGCUGGCGGUAGGCCUAACACAUGCAAGUCGAACGGCAGCACAGGAGAGCUUGCUCUCUGGGUGGCGAGUGGCGGACGGGUGAGGAAUACAUCGGAAUCUACCUUUUCGUGGGGGAUAACGUAGGGAAACUUACGCUAAUACCGCAUACGACCUACGGGUGAAAGUGGGGGACCGCAAGGCCUCACGCGAUUAGAUGAGCCGAUGUCCGAUUAGCUAGUUGGCGGGGUAAUGGCCCACCAAGGCGACGAUCGGUAGCUGGUCUGAGAGGAUGAUCAGCCACACUGGAACUGAGACACGGUCCAGACUCCUACGGGAGGCAGCAGUGGGGAAUAUUGGACAAUGGGCGCAAGCCUGAUCCAGCCAUACCGCGUGGGUGAAGAAGGCCUUCGGGUUGUAAAGCCCUUUUGUUGGGAAAGAAAUCCUAUCGGUUAAUAACCGGUGGGGAUGACGGUACCCAAAGAAUAAGCACCGGCUAACUUCGUGCCAGCAGCCGCGGUAAUACGAAGGGUGCAAGCGUUACUCGGAAUUACUGGGCGUAAAGCGUGCGUAGGUGGUGGUUUAAGUCUGCUGUGAAAGCCCUGGGCUCAACCUGGGAAUUGCAGUGGAUACUGGAUCACUAGAGUGUGGUAGAGGGAUGCGGAAUUUCUGGUGUAGCAGUGAAAUGCGUAGAGA